AGAAUCAACGCUGGCGGCGUGCCUAACACAUGCAAGUCGAACGAGAAAGGGGAGCGAUCCCUGAGUAAAGUGGCGCACGGGUGAGUAACACGUGAAUAAUCUACCUCCGAGUGGGGAAUAACUGAGAGAAAUCUUAGCUAAUACCGCAUAACACUUACGAGUCAAAGCAGCAAUGCGCUUGGAGAGGAGUUCGCGGCAGAUUAGUUAGUUGGCGGGGUAAUGGCCCACCAAGACGAUGAUCUGUA
rnacentral:rRNA from 1 species